CUCUUGCUCAUGUGUGCUGUCUUGUCCUUCCACCUUCCACUAUGGGAUGACACAGCAAGAAGGUCCUUGCAAGAUGUGGGCCCCUAUACCUUAGACUUUCAGCCUCCAGAAAGGGGAAGAUCCUGAAUGUGUUUCAUAUGAGUUCCCAAAUGGACCUGUGGGGACAGUGAGAGAAGGGCAGAGAAUCACCCUGGUUGACCACAGGAGCACUAAUCCCCUCUGAGACAAGAGAGCCACGUGGCCACACCUAACCAUGGGGACGGGAUGUGCCAACCUAUCACGGCCUGGAUGGCCAACUAGAAAGAUGUGGUGAGCAGCACUGAGACUACCACAGAGGCAGCAUCGCAGGGGAGGAUGCUCGUGAACUUCUGAACUCACGAACCUGGAUCCAAAUGCUGCCCCUGACACUACCCAGCGGUGGCAACAUGGCCAUUACCACCACUAUUGAUAUCAGAUUUUUCAUCUAUAAAACGGUUACAACAAAAUAUAUUGCAUACAGUUGUCAUGAGAAACAUAUAGCAAUGGAAACCGUAAGUUCUAAUCUAGAAAGAGCUCUGUAAAUGUUAAUUCCCCUCUUUUUUCUUGAAUCAGUCUUUCAACAUCCUCGGGAAAUAGGUAAAAAUUUGAUCCCAAUUCUCAGAUAAUUUAUUUAGAGUUUAUCACCAUAACUAAUAUUGACAAUUUACAAUGUGCUCUACAGUGCUUAAUACACAGUAACCCCUUAAUGAAUGUUGUUCAUGGGGCAACACUUGCCCUCGCCUUUUCUCACCCGACCAUUCCAGCAUCUCUAUGGAGUAGAAAGGGACCUACUAUUAUCUCCCUUUUUACAGAUUUGGAAAUGGAGGCUUUAGAGAGUUGAAUGACAUGCUUUUUUUCUAGGAUACAUGGCUGAUAACUGUUAAAGUUUGGCAGUAAAUUCUAUUAAUUAUUGCAAAGCAACGUUUACCAUUGCACUUACAUCCAAACUAGUACGUUGCAAAUAAAUCUUACAGCACUCACUGGAUCUCCAUGCUUACGCUAUUCCAUGAGCUAAAGCUAUAGAACAUCUACUUUGAGCCAGAGAAGAGAGGAGAAACUUUCUGAUUUAGAGCCACAUUUAUAUUAGAGUCUAUUUACUAUUUACUAGACUCUUUACUAUUAGAGUCUAAUUUACUGCCCACAUCCCUCUUUUCUCAACCUAAAUGCCCUUUUUAUGGCUGUAGCUGCCCUCACCCCCAGAACUACAUUUCUAUUUCCUGCAGGUGUCUGGGCAUUUGCAGGGCUGGGAUCCUCUAGGUGCUCUCUAAAUGCAUCCGCAUGCUUGGCAUGAGGCGCAGCCAGACUUAUGGCUUAGAAGCGGGGCCAUAUCAGCUGGGUCAGCAGCAUUCCAAGUAACUGAAAACCCUUUAAUGAAGGGAAGCAAGACAGGCAACUUAAUUUAACAGAGAGACAAACCUAAUAUGAGAGGGCAGUGGCUGCCACAGCUGCUGAAAGCGAGAUAUAUUAUUUUGCCAUUCUGGAAGCUUUAGCAACUUGGAAAUCUGACAUCCUGAGCCUGAACAUACCUUAGGUUCCACGAUAGACUAUCCUAGAUUUACAUGUGCAUUUGAAUAGUUUGGAUAAGAUGGCUGUCCAAACUGU
rnacentral:lncRNA from 1 species